UUGAACGCUGGCGGCAUGCCUUACACAUGCAAGUCGAACGGCAGCACGGGUGCUUGCACCUGGUGGCGAGUGGCGAACGGGUGAGUAAUACAUCGGAACAUGUCCUGUAGUGGGGGAUAGCCCGGCGAAAGCCGGAUUAAUACCGCAUACGAUCCACGGAUGAAAGCGGGGGACCUUCGGGCCUCGCGCUAUAGGGUUGGCCGAUGGCUGAUUAGCUAGUUGGUGGGGUAAAGGCCUACCAAGGCGACGAUCAGUAGCUGGUCUGAGAGGACGACCAGCCACACUGGGACUGAGACACGGCCCAGACUCCUACGGGAGGCAGCAGUGGGGAAUUUUGGACAAAGGGCGAAAGCCUGAUCCAGCAAUGCCGCGUGUGUGAAGAAGGACUUCGGGUUGUAAAGCACUUUUGUCCGGAAAGAAAUCCUUGACUCUAAUACAGUCGGGGGAUGACGGUACCGGAAGAAUAAGCACCGGCUAACUACGUG
rnacentral:rRNA from 1 species